GAUAUUAAUAGAUAUACCAACACUAAAUGACUACGUGUUUAAGGAAUUUGGUUCGGUUCAUCUAACCGAAAAUUUUCUUUAAAAAUUGAACCGAACUAAUCAAAAUAUACAAAAAACAAAAUUGAACUGAAUCUUCAUAAAAACCAAACCGAAUUAUCGUUUCAGCUUGAUUAUUUUGGUCCAAACUAAAUAGUGCUCUCCCCUAAUUAGUAGUUGCUUGAAACUGUAAAAUGUUUUUAUUUUUGUUUUGGCCUGUCAGGUCAAUUAUCUAUCUAAGAAGUAACCACAACACCUUUGUUGAUUGAACUUAUGUUACUUGAACUAGGGUAUGGGUGUCGAAAAUAGAUACAUAUCCAUGUAUUAGACAUGUAAACUUCCUAAGUAGAAAAUACGG
rnacentral:misc_RNA from 1 species